rnacentral:tRNA from 1 species
UAUACUUAGGUGUUUGAUGCACUUAGAGUUUUGAUUUCUAAAGGUAUAGUUUAAUUCUAUAAAGUAUAA